AUAACGGCGUCGAGCGGCGGACGGGUGAGUAAUGCCUAGGAAAUUGCCCUGAUGUGGGGGAUAACCAUUGGAAACGAUGGCUAAUACCGCAUAAUACCUWCGGGUCAAAGAGGGGGACCUUCGGGCCUCUCGCGUCAGGAUAUGCCUAGGUGGGAUUAGCUAGUUGGUGAGGUAAUGGCUCACCAAGGCGACGAUCCCUAGCUGGUCUGAGAGGAUGAUCAGCCACACUGGAACUGAGACACGGUCCAGACUCCUACGGGAGGCAGCAGUGGGGAAUAUUGCACAAUGGGCGCAAGCCUGAUGCAGCCAUGCCGCGUGUGUGAAGAAGGCCUUCGGGUUGUAAAGCACUUUCAGUCGUGAGGAAGGUAGUGUAGUUAAUAGCUGCAUUAUUUGACGUUAGCGACAGAAGAAGCACCGGCUAACUCCGUGCCAGCAGCCGCGGUAAUACGGAGGGUGCGAGCGUUAAUCGGAAUUACUGGGCGUAAAGCGCAUGCAGGUGGUUUGUUAAGUCAGAUGUGAAAGCCCGGGGCUCAACCUCGGAAUAGCAUUUGAAACUGGCAGACUAGAGUACUGUAGAGGGGGGUAGAAUUUCAGGUGUAGCGGUGAAAUGCGUAGAGAUCUGAAGGAAUACCGGUGGCGAAGGCGGCCCCCUGGACAGAUACUGACACUCAGAUGCGAAAGCGUGGGGAGCAAACAGGAUUAGAUACCCUGGUAGUCCACGCCGUAAACGAUGUCUACUUGGAGGUUGUGGCCUUGAGCCGUGGCUUUCGGAGCUAACGCGUUAAGUAGACCGCCUGGGGAGUACGGUCGCAAGAUUAAAACUCAAAUGAAUUGACGGGGGCCCGCACAAGCGGUGGAGCAUGUGGUUUAAUUCGAUGCAACGCGAAGAACCUUACCUACUCUUGACAUCCAGAGA
rnacentral:rRNA from 1 species